rnacentral:rRNA from 1 species
UUGACCUCGAUCAGGUAGCUGCCCAUC